rnacentral:rRNA from 1 species
AUACGUAGGUGGCGAGCGUUGUCCGGAAUUACUGGGCGUAAAGGGCGUGUAGGCGGUUUUUUAAGUCAGGCGUGAAAACCCGAGGCUUAACCACGGGAUUGCGUUUGAGACUGGAAGACUUGAGGAUCGGAGAGGGCAGUGGAAUUCCCAGUGUAGCGGUGAAAUGCGUAGAUAUUGGGAGGAACACCAGUGGCGAAGGCGGCUGCCUGGACGACACCUGACGCUGAGGCGCGAAAGCUAGGGGAGCAAACGGGAUUAGAUACCCCGGUAGUCCUAGCCGUAAACGAUGGGUACUAGGUGUGGGAGGUAUCGACCCCUUCCGUGCCGGAGUAAACACAAUAAGUACCCCGCCUGGGGAGUACGGCCGCAAGGUUGAA